rnacentral:lncRNA from 1 species
UUCGUGGCUGGUGAACCUGUGCUCAGGGGCUUGCCCUGUGGCUGAGAUGGAACUCUUCGUAUCCAGUCCUUGGCCGCUGGUCACUGCAUUUGAGAUGAGCCCUGGAGGCCUCUCCCCUCCUGGGACACCUGGUCUGAGAUCUUUGGCUAGAAAUCCCAGCGCCCACUCUAUCCCCUGUCAGGCCUGGCUUGUUGCUAGAGGGAUGGGGUGUGUUGUUGCGUGAGAUGAGAUGUCCUCUUCGUUCCCAUCUCAGGAGUCUCUCUAGUGGCUUCAGAAAAGGGAAAGUCAUACUAGAAAAGAGAGACUCAUGUGCUCUUGGGUCUGGGCCCCGGGUUCCUUACCUUCCUGAUGCUCCCGUGUGUCCUAGGUGGUAGUGAGGACGGAUCACUCGUGAGGUAGGGGCGUAAUAGGAAGAAGAGCCCCAGUCCACACACCAAGGCGAGGAUGGUUUCACCUACCCAGGAAGCGGGCCUGGGGCAGCACCAAGGAGCACCCAUAUGGUCCCAGAAGAGUGGAGAUUCUUCAUCUCCUCGCAAGGCUGUCACAGGAAAUAGCAGCCCUGUUACCCUCAGGAUGUCCUUCAGAUUCCUCCGCAUGGUUGCAAAUCUUAAGUCUGUUUUUCCCAUGUGGUAAGUUUUUGACGUUCCUCAACCCAGAAAUGGAAUCUUAUUGUAUCCUGACUUAAUGUUGAGUAUUUAAGGUGUGCUUGUUUCCAACCACCUUUGCCAUCUUCCCUCAGAAUACCUGACACAAAAAUUCAAACAAAUGAUGUAUUCCUUAAAAGUUACAAUACUACAAAGAUACGGAAUUAAACACCUAAAUGAUAUGGUUUGUGGUAGUAGCCUUUAUACUUCUGAAGUGCUAAAAGCUUCACCAAGGCUUCUUGGGACAUUCUGGUCACAUGCAAGAUUUGAUCCCUGACCAGGCAAAGUGGGUUAAGGAUUGUCACUGCCACAGCUGCAGCUUAGGUGACAGUUGUGGCUCAGAUCCGAUCCCUGGCCCAGGAACUCCAUAUGCUCCAGUGCAGCCAAAAAGAAAACUAAACGAAACAAAACUCAAGUCUUGACCUAUUAACAGGUUAUAAAGUCAGUUUUUGAAAGAUGAAGUAAAAUGGAAUAUAAAAUAUCAGGUAAAGGAUAAAUAUCAUAGUAUAAAACUUGCUAUGUGUAGGCAAAAAAGGUGUUGCGGAGAGCGAUGGGGGGUGUGUACCCAAAGUUCACUUGGGCAUGUUGUAUUUGCAAUGCUUAUAUGCUUCUGAGAUGCCAGAAGAAAUGCCAAAUAGAUGAAUAUUUGAGAUUAGAAUUCCAAGGAGACGUCUUGGCUUAAUUUAUGUAUUUACUGACAGCAUAUAAACUGCAUUUUAUAUCAUGAAAAUGUAUAAUUGGGGUUUUUUAAAUUUAAAGUGUUUAGCUCCCAAGUCUCUUUACUCCAUUUGAAGAACUCUCCUCACUGUUAGAGUUACAGCUGCCAGCAACCUACACCAAACCUCGCAGCAACACUAGAUCCUUAACCCACUGAGCAAUGCCAGGGAUGGAAGUUAUAACCUGUCCCUCCUAUAAGCUACAAGCAGCAGAGCUCGUAGAAAUGAAGAAGAAAAUGUUGAAGCAGCAGAAUUACUAACAGGUACAACCUUGGCCAGAUGGAAUAAAGUACUAUCCCAGGCUUUAAAACA